AUGGAGGCGGUCUUCAGCAGGUCAGCUGAGAUUGCCGGUAUUUCCAACAGGAUGGUGAAUGAUUGGGAAGGAAUAGUCCUCGACUUCCGCAGUAGCGACGAAUCAACAAUUCAUCCAGCAAAUGACCUCCUCGUACAAGCCCUGCAGCAUUAUUUUGGUGACACAUACUUGGCGCAGUCAGUAGUACAACACACCACUGAACUUUGCUCUCACAUGAUUCGUCUCUGGCGAUCCAAGCUGGAGCAAGACGCAGAAUUGAUACACCCAGGUGAGAAGGGUCGAAAGUACAUAUUUCUCUUAAAUAACACAUACGUUGUUCGUCAAACGGUGUCGCGUCAAGGAGCAUAUUUUCCCAAAGUAGAACUGAGGAGUCGGCUCAGUUCAAUGAUCGAGGGAUACAAGAAGGGCUACUUGGACGAGUGUUGGGCUCCUCUGAACCGUUUAAAAUCGGAGGAGUUUACGGCCGAAUUUCUUGCCACCUGUAAUCGCCAGAGGACGUGGAAGGUUACAGCUGAGCUCAGGUACCAACUGCGGCAGGAGAUUCUGGAUUUGGUUGUUUCACAUUCACCGUAUGAGGUAUCCAACGGAAGCUGUAUGAUGGAAGGAUUAUUUGAAGGAUGA
rnacentral:rRNA from 1 species